UGUUGAGGAAGAUAAUGACGGUACUCAACAAGGAAGUGACGGCUAACUACGUGCCAGCAGCCGCGGUAAAACGUAGGUCACAAGCGUUGUCCGGAAUUACUGGGUGUAAAGGGAGCGCAGGCGGGAGAACAAGUUGGAAGUGAAAUCCAUGGGCUCAACCCAUGAACUGCUUUCAAAACUGUUUUUCUUGAGUAGUGCAGAGGUAGGCGGAAUUCCCGGUGUAGCGGUGGAAUGCGUAGAUAUCGGGAGGAACACCAGUGGCGAAGGCGGCCUACUGGGCACCAACUGACGCUGAGGCUCGAAAGUGUGGGUAGCAAACAGGGUUAGAUACCCUGGUAGUCCACACCGUAAACGAUGAUUACUAGGUGUUGGAGGAUUGACCCCCUCAGUGCCGCAGUUAACACAAUAAGUAAUCCACCUGGGGAGUACGACCGCAAGGUUGAAACUCAAAGGAAUUGACGGGGGCCCGCACAAGCAGUGGAGUAUGUGGUUUAAUUCGACGCAACGCGAAGAACCUUACCAAGUCUUGACAUCCCUUGACGAUGCUGGAAACAGCAUUUCUCUUCGGAGCAAGGAGACAGGUGGUGCAUGGUUGUCGUCAGCUCGUGUCGUGAGAUGUUGGGUUAAGUCCCGCAACGAGCGCAACCCUUAUGGUCAGUUACUACGCAAGGGGACUCUGGCCAGACUGCCGUUGACAAAACGGAGGAAGGUGGGGAGGACGUCAAAUCAUCAUGCCCUUUAUGACUUGGGCUACACACGUACUACAAUGGCGUUAAACAAAGAGAAGCAAGACCGCGAGGUGGAGCAAAACUCAGAAACAACGUCCCAGUUCGGACUGCAGGCUGCAACUCGCCUGCACGAAGUCGGAAUUGCUAGUAAUCGUGGAUCAGCAUGCCACGGU
rnacentral:rRNA from 1 species